rnacentral:tRNA from 1 species
GAGGGUAUAUUUCAGUGGUAGAGCACAUGCCUAGCCUAGCAUGCAUGAGGUUCUGAGUUCAAUCCCCAGUACCUCCA